CCUACGGGAGGCAGCAGUGAGGAAUAUUGGUCAAUGGACGAGAGUCUGAACCAGCCAAGUAGCGUGAAGGAUGACUGCCCUAUGGGUUGUAAACUUCUUUUAUAAAGGAAUAAAACGAGGCACGUGUGCCCUUUUGCAUGUACUUUAUGAAUAAUGAUCGGCUAACUCCGUGCCAGCAGCCGCGGUAAUACGGAGGAUCCGAGCGUUAUCCGGAUUUAUUGGGUUUAAAGGGAGCGUAGAUGGGUUGUUAAGUCAGUUGUGAAAGUUUGCGGCUCAACCGUAAAAUUGCAAUUGAUACUGGCAGUCUUGAGUACAGUUGAGGUAGGCGGAAUUCGUGGUGUAGCGGUGAAAUGCUGAGAUAUCACGAAGAACCCCGAUUGCGAAGGCAGCUUACUAAACUGUGACUGACAUUGAUGCUCGAAAGUGUGGGUAUCAAACAGGAUUAGAUACACCAGUAGUC
rnacentral:rRNA from 1 species